rnacentral:rRNA from 1 species
GAAUCUUCCACAAUGGACGAAAGUCUGAUGGAGCAAUGCCGCGUGAGUGAAGAAGGUUUUCGGAUCGUAAAACUCAGUUGUGAGGGAAGAACAAGUACGAGAGUAACUGCUCGUACCUUGACGGUACCUCAGUAGAACGUCACGGCUAACUACCGCCCCGCAGCCGCGGUCAUACGUAGGUGGCAAGCGUUGUCCGGAAUUAUUGGGCGUAAAGCGCGCGCAGGCGGUCCCUUAAGUCUGAUGUGAAAUCCCACGGCUCAACCGUGGAAGGUCAUUGGAAACUGGGGGACUUGAGUACAGAAGAGGAAAGCGGAAUUCCAAGUGUAGCGGUGAAAUGCGUAGAGAUUUGGAGGAACACCAGUGGCGAAGGCGGCUUUCUGGUCUGUAACUGACGCUGAGGCGCGAAAGCGUGGGGAGCAAACA